UACAGAGGUCUCAAGCGUUGUUCGGAUUCAUUGGGCGUAAAGGGUGCGUAGGCGGCGCCGUAAGUCGGGGGUGAAAUUUCGGAGCUUAACUCCGAAACUGCAUUCGAUACUGCGGUGCUUGAGGACUGGAGAGGAGACUGGAAUUCAUGGUGUAGCAGUGAAAUGCGUAGAGAUCAUGAGGAAGACCAGUGGCGAAGGCGGGUCUCUGGACAGUUCCUGACACUGAGGCACGAAGGCCAGGGGAGCAAACGGG
rnacentral:rRNA from 1 species